rnacentral:rRNA from 1 species
GACGAACGCUGGCGGCGUGCUUAACACAUGCGAGUCGAACGGAAAGGCCCUGCUUUUGUGGGGUGCUCGAGUGGCGAACGGGUGAGUAACACGUGAGUAACCUGCCCUUGACUUUGGGAUAACUUCAGGAAACUGGGGCUAAUACCGGAUAGGAGCUCCUGCUGCAUGGUGGGGGUUGGAAAGUUUCGGCGGUUGGGGAUGGACUCGCGGCUUAUCAGCUUGUUGGUGGGGUAGUGGCUUACCAAGGCUUUGACGGGUAGCCGGCCUGAGAGGGUGACCGGCCACAUUGGGACUGAGAUACGGCCCAGACUCCUACGGGACGCAGCAGUGGGGAAUAUUGCACAAUGGGCGGAAGCCUGAUGCAGCAACGCCGCGUGCGGGAUGACGGCCUUCGGGUUGUAAACCGCUUUCGCCUGUGACGAAGCGUGAGUGACGGUAAUGGGUAAAGAAGCACCGGCUAACUACGUG